CGAAAGCCUGACGGAGCAACGCCGCGUGUGGGAAGAAGGCCUUUGGGCUGUCAACCACUUUUCUCAGGGAAGAAGCCCUGACGGUACCUGAGGAAUCAGCCUCGGCUAACUCCGUGCCAGCAGCCGCGGUAAUACGGAGGAGGCAAGCGUUAUUCGGAAUUAUUGGGCGUAAAGCGUCCGCAGGGGGCGCAUCAAGUCUGCUGUUAAAGGCUGGAGCUUAACUCCGGUAGAGCAGUGGAAACUGGUGCGCUAGAGGGCGACAGGGGUAGAGGGAAUUCCCAGGGUAGCGGUGAAAUGCGUAGAGAUUGGGAAGAACACCGGUGGCGAAAGCGCUCUACUGGGCCGUGACUGACCCUGAGGGACGAAAGCUAGGGGAGCG
rnacentral:rRNA from 1 species